rnacentral:rRNA from 1 species
UACGUAGGGGGCAAGCGUUGUCCGGAUUUAUUGGGCGUAAAGAGCGUGUAGGCGGCCAUGCAGGUCCGUUGUGAAAACUCGAGGCUCAACCUCGAGACGCCGAUGGAAACCGCAUGGCUAGAGUCCGGAAGAGGAGAGUGGAAUUCCUGGUGUAGCGGUGAAAUGCGCAGAUAUCAGGAAGAACACCCGUGGCUAAGGCGGCUCUCUGGACCGAGACUGACGCUGAGGCGCGAAAGCGUGGGGAGCAAACAGG